CAGUGAGCCGCGAUGAUGCUGCACCUCAGCCUGCACGCUGUCAUCCUGGGCUUCACUGUGCUGGUCAGCGGGCAACUGGACGACCAGAGCUUCACCGAAAGAUCCUAUGUGGUUUUGCAGAAUCAGAAUUUGGUCACUCUGGUGGGUGUCCUCAGCGUGCUGCUGGUGCUCAUGAUCAUAAUGGCUGUCUGUGUCUACAAACCGCUGCCUCGCCGGUGAGGAUGGCCCGCCAGCCACCAGGCGCAGGUGCAGAGGAGGAUCUCUUGUCCCAGUGCAGCACUGACCCCCCCUCCAGGACUCACCGGGGACCCCCGUGUCCUAAAGAGGACGCCACCACGUCCCUUUGCGAGAAAAGACUAAAGGAAGAGCCAAGUAUAAUAUCUACCUGCCAAGAAGCCACACUGAAAAGACACUUCACCAAGACUGCACAAUAAUAGCCCUAUUGGGACUUAUUUCCGCUGCAUAUUAAAUCUGGUUAAUUUAAGAAUUAGCCUAGUGUAUUUUGUUUGAGUUGAUUGUGACACCUAGAUGGCAUUACUGUUUUUGAAUGCCUUCAAAAUUAGGACUCAAAUAUACCUUCUUACAUAGCAGAAUCUUUAUUUUGUAUAGCCUACCUCUUGUCUUGUAUGAAUUUCUAUGUUGAAAUGUUGUCAUUAUUGUGUUGUGGUAAACACUAUUAUAUAUUGCAAUCAAUAUUAAAUUUAGAGUAAGCAUUCA